CACAUAUGAAUGCAUGUUGUGUACUGAGGUUAGCUAGGUUCCGAGUUCGACGCGUUUAUAUAGACGGCUCAGCUCAUCGCUCAACCUACUACUAUCCGAACUGCUGCUUGGGUUGCAAACUAGCCGCAAAUUAAGGGUUAUCCCACACAACAAAUGCAGCCAGGCUCUCUUAAAAGCAGAAGUAGUGGCAACCUGAACGGACUGAGCUGUUGUCUUCGUUUAAGCAGCGGCAACUACAUCCACACCUAUUAAGCAAAAAUUUAGUUUUUCAACGCUGGUUCAAAACAACUAUGGACGAACUCACCUGUGCAUAUUAAAAUGCUACGCAAGAGGUCGCUCCAAAUCCAGCUACUGCCUAAGUAGCAGCAACCAUACCAUUAAAACACAAAAUCAAAUUAUUGUAGCCUAUAACGUAUUUGCACAAGCCUACGU